rnacentral:rRNA from 2 species
GAGUUUGAUCGUGGCUCAGAUUGAACGCUGGCGGCAUGCCUUACACAUGCAAGUCGAACGGCAGCACGGGAGCUUGCUCCUGGUGGCGAGUGGCGAACGGGUGAGUAAUGCAUCGGAACGUAUCCUGGAGUGGGGGAUAACGUAGCGAAAGUUACGCUAAUACCGCAUAUUCUGUGAGCAGGAAAGCGGGGGACCUUCGGGCCUCGCGCUCUUGGAGCGGCCGAUGUCGGAUUAGCUAGUUGGUGAGGUAAAGGCUCACCAAGGCGACGAUCCGUAGCAGGUCUGAGAGGAUGAUCUGCCACACUGGAACUGAGACACGGUCCAGACUCCUACGGGAGGCAGCAGUGGGAAUUUUGGACAAUGGGGCAACCCUGAUCCAGCCAUGCCGCGUGAGUGAAGAAGGCCU